rnacentral:lncRNA from 1 species
CACCUUUGAAGCCUCUAGAUAACUCACCUUAAAAAGCCAAUUUUACACAGCUGCUUUCUUCUGGAAAUCAUGCCUCAUUUGAAGCCUUUGCAUAACAGAUAGAAGACAGAGGUUCUCAUUCAGUGAGUUUUGAAUCUGCAGGAGUGCAGGAUUCAUAGGAAAAGGUAAAGUAAUAUAAGAAAACCUAAGCACUACCUGCAUUGUUCAAACAAGUCUUUAGAUAUACGAAGCAUACUG